UGUUUAUCAAAAACAUGUCCUUUAGAAUUAAAUUUAAGGUCUGACCUGCCCACUGAAAAAUUGAAUGGCCGCAGUAUUCUAACUGUGCAAAGGUAGCAUAAUCAUUAGUCUUUUAAUUGAAGGCUUGUAUGAAUGGUUGGACAAGAUAUAUAUUGUUUCACAUAAAUUUAUAGAAUUUUAUUUUUUAGUUAAAAAGCUAAAAUUUUAUUAAAAGACGAGAAGACCCUAUAGAUCUUUAUAAUUAUUAAGUUUUAUUUAUUAAGAAUAUUUUAUAUUUAAUUUGUAUAAUUAUUUUAUUGGGGUGAUAGUAAGAUUGAUUUAACUCUUAUUUUAUUAUAUACAUUAGUUAAUGGUUAAUUGAUCCAGUAUUACUGAUUAGAAAAAUAAGUUACCUUAGGGAUAACAGCGUAAUUUUUUUAGAGAGUUCAUAUCGAUAAAAAAGAUUGCGACCUCGAUGUUGGAUUAAGAGAUAAAUUUGGGCGCAGCCGUUCAAAUUUAAAGUCUGUUCGACUUUUUAAUUCUUACAUGAUCUGAGUUCAAACCGGA
rnacentral:rRNA from 1 species